AGAUGUGUAUAAGAGACAGACCUCAUAAAGUAUGUCGUAGUCCGGAUUGGAGUCUGCAACUCGACUCCAUGAAGUCGGAAUCGCUAGUAAUCGUGGAUCAGAAUGCCACGGUGAAUACGUUCCCGGGCCUUGUACACACCGCCCGUCACACCAUGGGAGUGGGUUGCAAAAGAAGUAGGUAGCUUAACCUUCGGGAGGGCGCUUACCACUUUGUGAUUCAUGACUGGGGUGAAGUCGUAACAAGGUAACCGUAGGGGAACCUGCGGUUGGAUCACCUCCUUA
rnacentral:rRNA from 1 species